UACGAAGGGGGCUAGCGUUGCUCGGAAUCACUGGGCGUAAAGCGCACGUAGGCGGCUUUCUAAGUCAGGGGUGAAAUCCUGGAGCUCAACUCCAGAACUGCCUUUGAUACUGGGAAGCUCGAGUCCGGAAGAGGUGAGUGGAACUCCGAGUGUAGAGGUGAAAUUCGUAGAUAUUCGGAAGAACACCAGUGGCGAAGGCGGCGACCUGGACAGGCACUGACACUCAACUACGAAAGCGUGGGGAGCAAACAGG
rnacentral:rRNA from 1 species